AUUGUAAACUGCCGGGAGCAAUUGUUGUAACUACUUUACCAAUUCUUCCUGCCUUCAAAGCAUGAUUUGAAACAUAAAGAAAAUGGACGCCUGGUACUGAGAAAUACUUUGUUAUGUAAUAAUAUACUGCAUUCCUGCUAUUGGAAAGGAAGGACCUGAAAGGACCCCCAGGUUGCAAGUCACCUAACCUGAGUAUGGCCAGAAGAAUCAAGCAGGCCCAGGUCCUGACCUCAGAGCCAGCUGGAAUGAAAAAGCCAACCACAGGCAGAAUCUAAGUGCUUGGACCAAGCAACAGGGACCAAGUUAAAAAGCAAGGAAUGAAAUUAUUUUGGUAGAGCAGAAUGAGCAGGACAUCACUACAGAGCAUCCCUUGGUGGUCCUGGGGAAUAUUGCACAAGUGUUUCCCAAGAAGGCAGGAGCAUUCAUGAACACUUAAAGGUAAA